rnacentral:rRNA from 1 species
CCUACGGGAGGCAGCAGUGGGGAAUCUUGCGCAAUGGGCGAAAGCCUGACGCAGCAACGCCGCGUGCGGGAAGAAGGCUUUCGGGCUGUAAACCGCUUUCAGCAGGAACGAAAAUGACGGUACCUGCAGAAGAAGGAGCGGCCAACUAUGUGCCAGCAGCCGCGGUGAUACAUAGGCUUCAAGCGUUGUCCGGAUUUAUUGGGCGUAAAGAGUUCGUAGGCGGUCGAGUAAGUCGGGUGUGAAAAUUCUGGGCUCAACCCAGAGACGCCACCCGAUACUGCUUGACUUGAGUUCGAUAGGGGAGUGGGGAAUUCCUAGUGUAGCGGUGAAAUGCGCAGAUAUUAGGAGGAACACCGGUGGCGAAGGCGCCACUCUGGAUCGAUACUGACGCUGAGGAACGAAAGCAUGGGUAGCAAACAGGAUUAGAUACCCUGGUAGUCCAUGCCGUAAACGGUGGGCACUAGGUGUGGGUUUCUAUUAACGAAAUCCGCGCCGUCGCUAACGCAUUAAGUGCCCCGCCUGGGGAGUCGGUCGCAAGCUAAAACUCAAAGGAAUUGACGGCNGAGAGNGCGAGCGACGACGAGGAGAG